AGUUGUCUGUCAGUUGUUUCUGAUUUGUCAUUUUCUAGCUCAUGUCUGUCACAGGCCAUCCUUCUCAACACAUAAUCCUCAAGUAGGGGUGUAGACAUUCCUGUUUUGUUAGACUAAGCAGGGUGGAGUAAAUCUAAAAUUCACAGAAUGAGUCAUCAUAUAAAUAAUACAUGUUGUCAUUUGCCUCCAUGGCCAUUGUUUAAUCAACAAAAAGCACAAACCUCCACCUCUUAACCAAAGACCAACAAUAAUAAGAAGCUGUCUUUAAUCGGAUGAUAUCCCAUCUUUUAGCCUAUGACAGUUCAUACACCCAACAGGAAUAAACAAUUUAUAGGAUGGUCAAAAUGGAGGUUCUAGGAACAUUAUUGAAUUGACAAGGAAAUGAAGAAAAUACAGCUCACUUGAUCCUAUCUAUAUGGCCAUCUCAGUCCUCUAAAAGAAACACCUGAAAAGAAGCAAGAUCUGAUAUGACAUGUAUAGCUGCCAAAUGCCAGACAAGAUGCACCUACGCCUUCCCAUUGACAGAUAUGUGGCUAAUAUUGCCUUCUGGGAAAAUCAUGGGUUACCCAGAAACUUGAAAAGCUGACAAUCUGUGCAAAGUGCUGCAGAUUCAUCACUGUAGCAAUAACAAAUGGCUGUAAAAAUACCAUACGAUUCCUCUUCCUGCUACCCUCAGUGGGAACAAAACUGAUACAGAAGGUUUGGGCUACAAGUCAAAAAAGAAGAUAAACAAACGGAGCUAACAGUUGGGAGUAGGAUUAGCGAAAACGGUCUCAUGAGAUGUCUGUUAGGGGAAUGGACAAGACUGAUAAUAACAAAUGGAAAUAAAGAACAAGCACAUAAACA
rnacentral:lncRNA from 1 species